GGAAGUAAAAGUCUAACAAGGUCUCCGUAGGUGAACCUGCGGAGGGAUCAUUCACAUGAUUUACUUUAUAAACAAACCGUGAACUUUAUUUAACUAUUCUUGUUGGGAUUUUUUUUCAACAAUGUCAUUCGAUGAACAUUAGAUAGCUGGCUUGUAUUUUAUUAUACUUUCUCAGCUGAUUUUUGAAUAGACUAAACAUCUAAUCAAAAUCAACCAAACAUAGAAACAACUCUAUGCCCUGGAUAUCUUGGUUCUC
rnacentral:misc_RNA from 1 species